UACAGAGGUCUCAAGCGUUGUCCGGAUUUACUGGGCGUAAAGAGCGUGUAGGCGGCCACGCAGGUCCGUUGUGAAAACUGGAGGCUCAACCUCCAGCUGUCGACGGAAACCGUAUGGCUAGAGUCCGGAAGAGGAGAGUGGAAUUCCUGGUGUAGCGGUGAAAUGCGCAGAUAUCAGGAAGAACACCAAUGGCGAAGGCAGCUCUCUGGGACGGUACUGACGCUGAGACGCGAAAGCGUGGGAGCGAACAGG
rnacentral:rRNA from 1 species